rnacentral:lncRNA from 1 species
GGGAGAAGUAUGCUAAUGUCCUUAAUGGCUCGAUAGGUCGAGUUGAGAUGUGAUUGAAGUUUCGAGGACGAAACUCUUUUAAGGGAUGGAGAAUAUAGCAUACCGGAUUUUUUUUAUUAAAUGUGAAUAUAAAUAAAAACAGUGUGAGAUACUAUUUUUAUUGGACUUAUAGAAGUAAAAUAUAAGUCGGGAUCGACUCGUGCGGAAAUCGGAGUGAGAAUAGAAGAUUUUGAAUUUUCUGUGUGAAUCGAGGCUGUUAUUUUAGCAGAAAAUGCACAGUGUCAGAAAAUUCCGAAAAUUUGGAAAAAUGUUAGGAUUAUUUUUAUGAGGCUAGAUUUAAAGUUUCAUGACUUUCUAACACCC